AUUGAACGCUGGCGGCAUGCUUUACACAUGCAAGUCGAACGGUAACAGGCCUUCGGGCGCUGACGAGUGGCGAACGGGUGAGUAGUGCAUCGGAACGUGCCCAGUCGUGGGGGAUAACGCAGCGAAAGCUGUGCUAAUACCGCAUACGAUCUGCGGAUGAAAGCGGGGGACCUUCGGGCCUCGCGCGAUUGGAGCGGCCGAUGUCAGAUUAGGUAGUUGGUGGGGUAAAGGCCCACCAAGCCGACGAUCUGUAGCUGGUCUGAGAGGACGACCAGCCACACUGGGACUGAGACACGGCCCAGACUCCUACGGGAGGCAGCAGUGGGGAAUUUUGGACAAUGGGCGCAAGCCUGAUCCAGCAAUGCCGCGUGCAGGAAGAAGGCCUUCGGGUUGUAAACUGCUUUUGUACGGAGCGAAAAGGCUCCCUCUAAUACAGGGGGCUCAUGACGGUACCGUAAGAAUAAGCACCGGCUAACUACGUGCCAGCCGCCGCAGUAA
rnacentral:rRNA from 1 species